rnacentral:rRNA from 1 species
UGGGGAAUUUUGCGCAAUGGGGGAAACCCUGACGCAGCAACGCCGCGUGGAGGAUGAAGUAUCUUGGUACGUAAACUCCUUUCGAUGGGGAAGAUAAUGACGGUACCCAUAGAAGAAGCCCCGGCUAACUUCGUGCCAGCAGCCGCGGUAAUACGAGGGGGGCAAGCGUUGUUCGGAAUUAUUGGGCGUAAAGGGUGCGUAGGCGGUUCAGCAAGUCUUGUGUGAAAUCUUCGGGCUCAACCCGAAGUCUGCAUAGGAAACUACUGGGCUUGAGUAUUGGAGAGGUGAGUGGAAUUUCCGGUGUAGCGGUGAAAUGCGUAGAUAUCGGAAGGAACACCUGUGGCGAAAGCGGCUCACUGGACAAUUACUGACGCUGAUGCACGAAAGCUAGGGGAGCAAACAG